AACGUAGGAGACGAACGUUAUCCGGAGUUACUGGGCGUAGAGGGCGUGUAGGCGGUUUGUUAAGUCUGGCGUGAAAGCUCUCGGCUAAACCGGGAGAGGUCGUUGGAUACUGGCGAACUAGAGGAUGGUAGAGGCGUGUGGAAUUCCGGGUGUAGUGGUGAAAUGCGUAGAGAUCCGGAGGAACACCAGUGGCGAAGGCGACACGCUGGGCCAUACCUGACGCUAAAGCGCGACAGCAUGGGGAGCAAACGGG
rnacentral:rRNA from 1 species